AACGCACAUUGCGCCCGCUGGUACUCCGGCGGGCAUGCCUGUCCGAGCGUCAUUUCAACCCUCAGGCCCCCCUCCCGGGGGCGGGCCUGGUGUUGGGGCUCGGCCGCUCCCCCGCGGCCGUCCCCUAAAUCGAUUGGCGGUCACGCCGUGAUCCCUUGCGUAGUACUGCACCUCGCACCGGAGAGCGCCGCGGCCUGCCGUAAAACCCCCAAUUUUUCAAUGGUUGACCUCGGAUCAGGUAGGAAUACCCGCUGAACUUAA
rnacentral:misc_RNA from 1 species